GGGCGCGAGCGUUGUUCGGAAUCAUUGGGCGUAAAGCGCGUGUAGGCGGUUUGGUAAGUCGAGUGUGAAAGCCCGGGGCUCAACCCCGGAAGGUCGCUCGAAACUGCCUCGCUAGAGUCCCGGAGAGGAAGGCGGAAUUCCCGGUGUAGAGGUGAAAUUCGUAGAUAUCGGGAGGAACACCAGCGGCGAAGGCGGCCUUCUGGACGGUGACUGACGCUGAGACGCGAAAGCGUGGGGAGCAAACAGG
rnacentral:rRNA from 1 species